rnacentral:lncRNA from 1 species
UCUCUUUGGAGACCUCGACACAGAAUUGGAGGAGAGUUUCGGGAUGAGCCACCUCCUCGCUAAUUUUCUCAUACUCAAGGUGCCAAUGCACAAUACUUCCAAGUCCUCCAUGUUUAGGGGUCACCUGGAUCGUGAUCACAAAGCUCUUGUACUCUUUCAUCAGAUCACCGUCGAUAACUCUAAACGUGAUCAAGUUCUUAUCCGGCUCAACCGCCUCGAUCCUCUCCUUAGCCACCUUUGCCUCCCCAUCUGCACCAAUUAUUUAACAUUUGAUAUUAUAUGUUUAAUUUUGAGACAUAUUAUUUAUGAACAAGAAAUUUAUAUAACAUUGACUUGCCAUGAACAUAGUUCCAAAAGACGAUAGAGCCGACUUUGCCCCAGUCGCCUUCGUGCAGAUCACAGCCUUGAAUGUUUCCUGGAGAUGCUUUAGAGACAUGAUGUGGUUUUCCCGCGAACAUGUGAUGGAACUUCUCAGCUGAAGAUUUGAUCUCCACGUCUGUCUCUAGCUUCCCCACCAAACUAGGCGUCUCUGUUGUCUUCACCUCUUCUUCCUCAGCCAAGAGAUGUUCGUCGAUCUCUUUGGACACUUCGACACAGAAUUGAAGAAGAGUCUCGGGAUGAGCUACCUCGUCGCUAAUCUUCUCAUACUCAAGGUGCCAAUGCACAAUACUUCCAGGCCCGCCAGGCUUGGGGGUCACCUGGAUCGUGAGCAAGAAGCUCUUGUACUCUUUCAUCAGAUCACCGUCUAUAACCCUAAACGUGAUCAAGUUCUUCUCCGGCUCCACCGCCUCGAUUCUCUCCUUAGCCACCUUUGCCUCCCCAUCUAAACCAAUUAUUUACCAUAUCAUAUUUAUAGGCUUAAUUUAAAAUGAUCUCCUGGUUAGUUAUUUAUAUAUGAAAAAAGAUGAAUAUAACAUUGACUUGCCAUGAACGUAGUUCCAGAAGAUGAUAGAGCCAACUGUGCCCCAGUCGCCUUCGUGCAGAUCACAGCUUUGAAUGUUGCCUGGACUUGCUUUGGAGACAUGGUGUGGUUUCCCAGCGAACAUGUGAUGAAACUUAUCAGCCGAAGCCUUGAUCUCCACGUCUGUUUCUAGCUUCCCCAACAAACUAGACGGCUCUGUUUUCUUCACCUCAUCUUCCACGGAUGUCUUUGUAGCUACAUCCGCCAUUUUUCUAACGGCUGGUUUGAUUUUCUUGAGGAGGGUGAGAUUUUUGUUUUUGGUAGAGAGUGAAUUCCCUUAGGACUUGGAUAGCCCUAUAUAUAGAGGAAUGAGUGAGCAUCUCUAGAAGUAGAUGACACUGGUUUAAUUGUGAUUUCACAAUCCCAUUAUUGUGACCCAUAACGAUUCAGUAAGAUUUCCACCUAAAAAACUCUUCUUUUAAAUGUGUAUUUAAGAUUUUUUUGUAUGAAGUCCUUUCUGUUUUGUAAAGCUUCACAUAAUAUAGAAUUAAUUAAGUGAGUAACUAUUAACCAAGAAAAUAACACUGAAUUAUUUGCGUCCUUUCACGUCGCUCUUUUCUCUGUUAACGUUUAUAUAUAUAUGCUCAGAUACAUUUAUUGUAGCUAGUGGUGUUUUCGUUUUGUUUCAGUAUCCCAAUUUUUAUGCGGGUAUAAAUUCUUUCUCUAUUAUUUAUACUAGGUUAUGAACCCCCGCGAUGUCGCGGGGGAACUCAUUUUUAACAAAUAUAUUUGAUUGUGUUUAUGUAUUAAAUUAUUAUGAUAAUAUAUUCAAAAAGUUGAAUUAUUACAUAAAAUUAACUAUAUUUUUAAGCUAUGUCGUAAAUAUUUUCCAAAGAUGUUAAAAUAAUUUACGAAUAAAAAUGUAAAAAGAAGAAUUAUGAUUAAAAACACUUUUGAAACAACUUUUAUAAAUGUAAAAUUAUUUAUAAGUGACAAUAUACAUAAAAAAGAGUUAUAAUAUAGAGAUAAGAAAUUCUAGCGGGUCAAAACCAAAAAAUUCGGAUGGAAUCAGUACUUAGCACGACUUGUGGGUGACUAAGAACGCCUAAGAAUUGGUGUUAUUUGUUUGUCCACUGUUCUUUAAAUAUAAAAUUAAUAUUUAUUUUAUUAUAUAUAUUCGAGAAGAUAUAAAAUUUGAUGACGUAAAUUACAUCUAUAACAAACAAAUAAACAUUUACACAAUCUCAUAAAUUUAUAUUUGUAUUGAUUAGUUAACUGAGUAAAAAAACUUCUUCCUUGAACAUUCAUGUGACGAAUUGGAAUCAUUGCUUUAUUCCUAAUAAUGAAGAUGAUUUAUGAAUUACUAUACUAUUUGAAACUGUUUAUUUGACGCUUACCACAUUUAAAGCGCCUAAUCACAAGCUUCACAUGAGGAUGUCUUCUGAUAUUCGAACUUUGUAAUAGUGCUAAAUCAGAAUCAAUAUUUCGUUGUAUACAACCCAUAUAUAUUGCUUUAAGAUAAAAAAAAAAACAUUAUUGUUUUCAUAUAAAAUAGCUAAAUAAAAAAAGCUACUGUAUACUCAGUCCAAUUCUAAGAACAAAAUUGUCGGUAUCUUCAUUAGAAUUUUAUAUUUAAAGUUGAUUCAAACUUCUCUCUUUUUAUAAUCAUUCCAAAAAACUUUGGUUAAAUCUAAAAUCGGAAGAAUUUUUUUAAUAUUAAAAUGAUUUAUGUUUAGAAAUAGUUUAGAGAAUUAAGAAUUUAGAGCCAUUUUACAGAUUUGUAUUUUUUUAUUCAUCAUGAAACAAAUAAUCUAUGUUAAAGAACAAAAAUUUGGGAACUACUUAGAAAGAAAGACAAUUAUUUAGAGUUCAGAAGUCACGAACAUUUAAAUAGAUAAUUAUUCAUACAAAAAAUUGUGAUAAAAAAAUGCAAUGAAAUAUAGUGAAGAAACGUAUAUGCAACUAUAAAGAUACAACAGUAAACUGAAAAAAAAUAUGACUAUAAUUGAAAAAAUAGAACUGUCUCACAAAAAUAACCGUCAUUAUUUCAAUGAAAAGAUGCGAUUUUAAAAAAUACAACUUAGAAAAAAUAACCGUCAAUAUUUUAACGCAAAAUACCGAUAAAAAAAACACAAACGAAAAAAAGUUACAGUCAAUAUUUUAACGGAAAGUUGCGAUAAAAAGACACAACCGAAAAAAGAACCAUCACCGAAAAAAAAUGACGGUCAAUAUUUUAACGAAGAGUUGCGAUAAAAAGAUACAACCGAGAAAAUAACUGUCAAUAUUUUAACGGAAAGUUUCGAUAAAAAAAUACAACCGAGAAAAAUAACCGUCAAUAUUUUAACGGAAAGUUACGAUAGAAAGACAUAACCGAAAAAAGUAAUCGUCAAUAUUUUUAACGGAAAUUUACGAUAAAAAGACACAACCAAAAAAGAACUAUUGACGAAGAAAUUAUUUUAACGAAGAGUUCCGAUCAAAAAGACACAACCGAGAAAAAAUAACCGUCAAUAUUUUAACGGAAAGUUAUGAUAGAAAGACACAAACAAAAAAGUAACCGUCAAUAUUUUAGCGGAAAGUUACGAUAAAAAGACACAACAAAAAAAUAACCGUCAACGAAAAAAGUAACCGUAGUUAUUUUAACGACGAGUUGCGAUCAAAAAAACACAACCAAGAAAAAAUAACCGUCAAUAUUUUAACAGAAACUUAUGAUAAAAAGACACAAAUAUAUAAAGUAACCGUCAAUAUUUUAACGAAAAGUUGCGAUAAAAAAUAUACAACCGAAAAAUAACCGUCAACAAAAAAAGUAACCGUCAAUAUUUUAACGAAGAGUUGCGAUAAAAAGACUUAACCGUGAAAAAUAACCGUCACUAUUUUAACGGAAAGUUGAGAUAAAAAGACACAACCGAGAAAAAUAACUGUCAAUAUUUUAACGAAAAGUUGCGAUAAAAAGAUACAACCGAAAAAAAAAUAACCGUCAAUAUUUUAACAGAAUAUUUUGAUAAAAAGACACAAACGAAAAAACUAACCGCUAAUAUUUUAAAUAUUACAAUAACACAACCGAAAAAUAACCGUCAAUAAAAAAGUAACCGUCAAUAUUUUAACGAAGAGUUGUGAUAAAAACACAACCGAAAGUAACCAUAAAUAUUUAAACGAAAAGUUACAAUAAAAAGAUGCAACCGUUCAGAUGUGUAUAUGGUAUUUAUUGGAAACGACAUAAUCGUAAAAAAAUAACCGAUUAAAACGAAAAUUGCGAUAAAAAGACGCAACCAAAAUAACCGUAAAAAAAUAACCAAUUUAAACGAAAAAUUGCAAUAAAAAGACGCAACCAUUCAAAUGUGCAAAUGGUAUUUAUUAGAUUGCUAUUAUAUAUAGAUUUAUAUACACCAUAAAAUAAAGUAAUUAUUUAUAACAAUAACAACUUUUUGUCUAUUGGGAAAAUAAUAAAAGGAGGUAAAACAAAGUCAACAAUUUUUCAUGUUAAACAUUAUGGGUUAAAUUUUAUUUUGUGCGGAGUCUACUGUUAUUAUGCACUUAUAUUAAUUUACUUUUUAUGUCUAUAUAACAAUCAAAUUCGAUCGAUGUAAUCCAUAAUUCACAACUUCAUUUACGAAAUAAAUAAUAAUAAAAAAUCUUUUUCGUCUUUCUUUAUUUCGGUAGUCCGAUAUUUUUGUAUUUAUAUUUAUAUCUACCAUAAAAUAAAUACUUAUUUAUAACAAGAGUCUAAUAAUUGUGAAAGUAAUAGUGAUCGAAAUUAAGGUUACGUGAGUACCAAAAUGCCAUUUUAGAUCAUUUCCUUCAUGCUCACUUUUUUUUGGUAGACUAGUUAGGUGUUGAUAUGACGGUAGACAACACUUUUCCCGACACUCAUAUAACUUUUGAAAAUUGUAAAAGCUUUCUCUUAAAAAUCAAUGGAUGCUCUAUUGAGAAGUUGAAUAACACAUUAUCACACGUUUAUCUUCAGAGACAAUAGGUAGGGUUAAGAUCAUCUACAAUUAUUUAAGAUCUGCUUUUCCCGAGAAAGAAGAACUGCCAUCUUUCUAACUUUAGUCAAGUACGUAGUAUUCAUACUCAUAGCAUAAUGACUUUAUAAUCUUAUGAUUAUUCUGAUUUUUUUUCUUUUUAUUUUGUUUGAUUUUAGUUAUCUUUUCGCCUUCUUAUGUCUAAUUUGGCUGAUUAAAUAUUGAUUCUAACUCUGUUUUACAUAUUAAUAUGCUUUAUUAAUGAGAAUAACGCGUUUUUGUUACAUGAAGCUCACAGAACUCGCUAAUACAAGAGUCUCAAACAAGGUAGCAAAGAAUGCAUGAUUCUAACAUUCAUGAUAGGAGAGAGACCAGCCUUGGUAUAUCCACAAACACAUAAGCUUUUAUUAAAACCAAACAUGACAUACACACAUCUAGAGUACAACUCUUUUCUAUAUCACUCACAUAUAUUGGGCUACGCUCCUUGUUUAUUGUAUCAUACACAAGAACAUGCGUGCUUCAUAACUGACAUAUACACAUUAUUGGAUAGAUACUCAAUUAAAGAGUACUCUCUAUUCCUCGUUCAGGAGAUGUUCAUCGAUCUCUUUGGAGACUUGGACACAGAAAUCAAGGAAGGUCUCAGGGUGAGCCACUUUGUCGUCAAUUUUCUCAUACUCGACGUGCCAGUGCACCACACUCCCAGGUCCUCCUCUUUUAAGAGUCACUUGGAUUGUGAUCACAAAGCUCUUAUACUCUUUUAAUAAGUCUCCCUCUAUCACCCUAAAAGUGAUGAGGUUUUUCUCCGGCUCCACUGCCUCAAUCCUCUCUUUUGCCACCUUUGCCUCUCCAUCUGCACCAAAUAUAUAUGUUUGGAUCCAAGAAUCAGUAUGAAUAUUAGUUCAAAACAUAUAAUAAUUAAGCUUAUAAUUUAAUCUAAAAUGUUCUCAUUUCAUAUAUGUGGAUUUGAUUGUUAGAAUCAGAUUAAUGUUUUUUUUCUCUAUAAAAUGGGGAAACGACGAUUUGUGACACUAACUAGUUCACAUGCAUCAAGUAUGCAUUUCUGGUAAGUUUUCCGUCGAUAUAAAUAUGAAGUUUUAAGAACCUAUUCUAUGCAGUUAUAAAUAUUAUAACUUUGACUUGCCAUGAACAUAAUUCCAGAAGACUAUAGAGCCGACUUUGCCCCAUUCGCCUUCAUGAAGCUCACAGCCCUGAAUUUUCCCUGGAGUUGCUUUGGAGACAUGGUGUGGUCUCCCAGCAAACAUGUGAUGGAACUUCCCAGCUGAAGCUUUGAUUUCAACAUCUGUCUCUAGCUUCCCACACAAACUUGAGGCCUCUCUCUUUGCUGGAUUCAUUGCAGCCCCGGCCAUUUUAGUCGCCAUUUUUUUUCUCUUUGUUAAAGUAAUUAAGAGGAUUUCGAGAGAAGAUGAGUUUCUUUUGAGUUCUUUAGCCUCGUUUUGUAGAGGAUUGAGUGCUUAAAGGCUGAAGAAGAAAACAAAUAAUUAUUAAUUGCAAUUUUGUAUCCCGGCCCUUCUGAUCAUGACUCCAUUAUUUUGUCUCACCUACUGAAUUUUUGUAAUGGAUAAGGGUUCAAUUAUGUUUUGUUCAUAUAAAUUAUCAAGAGAUCAUUCAAUAUAACGCGGUUCAGGUUUUGUUCCUUCCGCAAAUUCUCGUUUUGACAUAUUUGUUAUUGGCAUGUAGUGUUGUUGAUCCUUCAGAGAGCAUGCAUGUCGUUCGUUCAUGAAGGCACGUUAGUUCUUAUUAUGCAAAAAAAAAUAACAAUCAUUAACUAUGAUAUCGGAUAAAUAUGCUUCAACCAAAAAAGUUCUUGGAUAAAUAUGUUUAAAAUCAAUAUAUGUUUUUUUUUGCAUUAUUUGUAUCUAAAAUCCAUUAAUAUAUAUAUAUAUAUAUAUAUAUAUAUAUGUUGGAUAGAUAUACAUAUUGACAUAAAAUAUUUUGAAACAUGCAAUUUAAUUUAUCUGUGAAUUUAGUAAUUAAAUCUUGUAAAGUUAAAGAACCAAAAACCUCAUUUAUCACUUUGUAGUCUUGUAUUGUUGUAACGCCCGACCGUCCCUACCAGUGGGCCCCACGUCCUCUCUAGGGUCCAUGAGCCUACCCAUGUCCGACGGCCAGUCCGCUACGUCUGGGAGGUUUUAAAGACUUGUUUACCGACCCUACAAAUCACCACAUGAUUUUUCCCUGUAUUUUGUCCUCACUCACACAGUUCCGAUAAUCACUUCCCGGAAGGUCACCCAUCCUGAAACUACUCCAGCCCAAACACGCUUAACUGUGGAGUUCUCUCAGGACGGUUGACCGAAAAGAUAAGUGCACUUUAGUGACAUAAGUGGCCAAAUCAAUUCUUAUAAACCUCUCUGCAUGUACCACCAUAUUCCUGAAACCGGGGUGUUACAAUUCUACACUAUUAUUUUCAUAAAAUUGAUAUGCUUUUUUAGAUAACAUCUCUGGAUUGAAAUGAAACAAUCUCUUGAUGAAGAAAAUUCAAGGUUUGUGCGGCCCAAACUAAUUUCUGCUAUAGUUAAUUUGAAUGUAACUUAUUCCAACUGUUUGGUUAGAUUAACGAUCUUGUUACAACUUUUUGCAAUGUAUAGAUUCCAAACUGGGCCUUUUAAAAGGGCUUAUGUAUAUCUUAUUUAUUUUUGCAAUUUCAACAUUAAAAUAUUUAAGCAAAAAUAAAAGGAUAGACGACGUACGCUUAUAUAUCCAAAUUGAAAUAUAUAUCAUAUGCUUUUUAUUUAUGAAAAAAUAACAUUAUAAACUUAAACAAAGAAAACAGAUACAUACAUUUAGAGUAUUGCACUUUUAUCACAUAUUAUCACUCUCACACAUAACGAACACAGCUCAUUAUUUAUUGCAGUUUCAAAGAGUAAAAUUAAUCAGCAUGCCUCAAUAUAAGCAUAUAGUACAAAAACAUAUUAUAAGCAUAUAAGAUCAAUUAGGAUAGACAAAUCCUUUUUUUUUUUUUUGCUACUUAUUUAGACGGUUUCACAUUAAAAAUUCGUCUUCAUUAAAAUAAUUUUAUGUUUAGUAGUGUAUACAUGUGUUCCAUGUGAUCCCUAAACCCAUCAUUAUGACUCAUCUGCAGAUUUUGCAUCGUUCAUUAACGAAUAUAUUCAUUAAUCACACAAUUCGCUACGCUACAUUCGUUUGUCUCUACUCAGAUAUAUACUAUUUAUUAUCGGCAACAGGUAGUUGUUAAGAUUUAAAUUAUAUUCUUAACUUUAUAUUCUUAGCUUUUUAUUCCCAAAUUCAAAAUUUCUUAGAAAUAUAUGAUCUAACGAUAUAUGGAAAACGAUUUUUUGCAGAGUUGAGAACUUGAUAAUCUGUUUCCUUAGUUGAAAAACUGUCCUGCAGUGUAACAGUUGAAUGCUGGUUCGAGUCCCAUGAUACAAUUACAAUCUUUCUUCUAUUUGCAUCACUCCAAUUAGAAGCAUAUAUAGGGAACUAAUUAAUUAUGUGUUCUCAAAUGGACUGAUCUUGUUACUUAAUUUAUUGGUACGGUUCUUUACCACUUUUUCUAAUGGAUUGAUGACAAACUGGGCCUUUAAAGGGAAAGACGACGCUUAUUUAUCCUUAUACAAUAUAUCAUAUACUUUAUAUAAUAAGAUUUGGUUAUAAAAAACAUAUAUUAGACAAUUUAUUAAACAAACAAAACACAAUAGAGUAUAGCACUUUAAAAACAUACAACAUUCUCAUAUAUCCAACACAACUCUUUAUUUUUUUCCACAUUCAAAGAGUGAUUUUAAUCGGCAUUCUUCAAUCACACAUGUACGGAUAGGAUAUUUAGUCACACGAGGAGUAUUCUCCUCUAUUCCUCGGCCAAGAGAUGUUCGUCGAUUUCUUUGGAGAUUUCUACGGCAAACUGGAGGAGAGUCUCAGGAUGAGCCACCUCCUCGUUUAUUUUCUCGUACUCGAAGUGCCAAUGCACCACACUCCCUGAACCUCCAUGCUUAGGAGUCACUUGGAUUGUUAUCACGAAGCUCUUGUACUCUUUCAUCAGAUCACCUUCUAUAACCCUGAACGUGAUCAAGUUCUUCUCUGGAUCCACCGCCUCGAUCCUCUCCUUUGCCACCUUUGCCUCCCCAUCUGAAAAAAUUAUUUAACAUUUAAUAUAUAUAGAUUUUACUUUGAGACAUGUUUAUAAAUGAACAACACGUAUAUAACGUUGGCUUGCCAUGAAUAUAGUUCCAGAAGACGACAGAGCCGACUGUGCCCCAGUCACCUUCGUGCAGAUCACAGCUCUGAAUCUUAUCUGGAGUUGCUUUGGAGACAUGGUGUGGUUUCCCGGCGAACAUGUGAUGGAACUUCUGAGCGGAAGCUUUGAUCUCCACCUCUGUCUCAAGCGUCUCUGUUGUCUUCACCUCUUCUUCCUCGGAUAAGAGAUGUUCGUCGAUCUCUUUGGAGACCUCGACACAAAACUGGAGGAGAGUUUCAGGAUGAGCUACCUCGUCGCUGAUUUUCUCAUAUUCAAGGUGCCAGUGGACAAUACUUCCAGACCCUCCAUGCUUAGGGGUCACCUGGAUCGUGAUCACAAAGCUCUUGUACUCUUUCAUUAGAUCACCUUCUAUAACCCUGAAUGUGAUCAAGUUCUUCUCUGGCUCCACCGCCUCGAUUCUCUCCUUCGCCACCUUUGCCUCCCCAUCUGCAUCAAUUAUUUUAUAAUUUAUAAGUCUGACUUCGAGUUUAAUUUGAAAGUAAUUAAGUUCAAAAAUAUAUUAUAGAAAAAAAAUUCACCUGAGGCAAAAAAAAGAAAAAAGAAGUGUAGAAGGUUGGCUUACCGUGAACGUAAUUCCAGAAGACGAUAGAGCCGACAGUGCCCCAGUCGCCUUCGUGCAGAUCACAGCUCUGAAUGUUGCCUGGACUUGCUUUGGAGACAUGGUGUGGCUUCCCGGCAAACAUGUGAUGAAACUUUCCAGCAGAAGCUUUGAUCUCCACUUCUGUCUCUAGCUUCCCUACCAAACUAGGAGCUUCAGUUUUUGCCAUUUCUACCUCUGAUCUGCUUAAUUAUCUUGGGAACAAUUGGGGUUUUGAGAGAGGAGUGAGUUCUCUACUGAGUUCUUUAGGGUAUAUAUGUAGUGGAAUGGUUGAGCAACCGUCGAAGAAAUUAAGAAUUUUAUUCAUUAAAAUAAUUUCAUGACUAGUUGUGUUUCAUGUGAUUCCAAUCCCAUCAUUAUGACUCAGCCGUAGAAUUAUUUCAAUUGUUCAUCAAAUUAUCUAAUCUUCAAUUAUUUGAAUUAUAACUUUUGUUUUCUCUGAUUCAAAGUCUCCGCUUGAAUAUAUGAUUUUGUUUAGUGGUAGCAGGUAGUUGCUGUCUUGCUGACAUUUAUUUCUAGUAUUAUUCUUAAACAUAUAAUUAAUGUUACCAUUAAGGCAACGUUAAAAAACUUACGAUUUGAAUAAAAUGACAGUAAAGUAUGGUUCACGCUAAAUUUGAAAAUAUAUAUUGAGAUAUUUAUUAAUUAUGUUACGAGUCCCACCGUAUCACUAGAGGUGUCAAAAUGAGCUAGCUCGCUCAAUUCAGCUCAGCUCAUGAUGAACUCGGGCAUUUCAUGAGCUAGUUCAGCUCAGCUCAUUUAUUAGAUGAGCUUUAAUAUAUAAACUCGGACUCAGAUCAUCUUAGUCGUGAGUUAAAUGAGCUAGCUCGCGAGCUCAUAACAAAUAAAUAUAAUAACAAAAAUAUUGUAAAUUUUUUUAAAAAAAUUUAAAAUAAAUCCAAUAACAUAAUUAAUUCUAAAGUUAAAUAAUGGAAAUAAAUCCAAGAAAAAAAUAAUCUCAAAACACAAACUUUCUAAUAGAAUAACUCUAGUUUUGUUUAAUUUAAAUGGAAAAGAUAUAUAUGCUUCUGUUGACAUUUUGUAUAUAUUUACAAUAUAUAUAUAUUUCUAAAAAAGCCGAGCUCAUGAACUAGCUCAUGUUCAUUAAAGCUCGCUCAUAUAACUCGCGAUCUAAAAAAAGCUCGAUCACAUAACUCAUUUUUAAAUGAGCCUAAAAACCAGAGCUCGUGCUCAUGAAAAAUCGAGCUGAGCUGAGCCAACUCAUGAGUUGCUAGCUCAUUUUAACACCCAUAACUUUAAGUAAUGUUUUAGGGAAAUUUUUUUUUAUUUCAAGUGAUGUUUCCAUUUUUUAUGCAAAAACUAAAUAUUUUUUUUUUGACUAAUCAUAUUUACAGUAUGUUUUUAUGUUAAAGAGAUAAAUUAAAUGAAAAUUACGUGUUUUCUUAAUUUUUGUGUAGAAAUAUUAUACAGAUAUUCGAUAAAUAUGAUUAAAAAUACUAUUUUAUGUUUUUUCUUAGUGUCAUCUAAAUUCCGUAAAAGGCAGAAAUAUAUACUGACAUUAAAAAUAUUAAAAACCUUAGAAUUUAAUCUAACAAUAUUAUAAAUAAAAAUGAAUGAUUAAACAACUAAAACCUCAUUUAUCACUUGUACACUUUUAUUUUCAUAAUCUAUGCCUAUAAUUCUACUUUGAUUAUUAUAUUAUAUGCAAUAAUCACAUUAUUUUAGUUGAUGCAAUGAUUGAUAAUCUUAAGACACAAUCUCUUAUUCGCAUUAUUUAGUUGACAAAAUCUUUAUUUGAUCCAUAAUUUGUGAUGACUAUCGUUCGUUACAUAAGUAUAUUUUUUCUCUUGGUAUAAAUGCUUCAUUUAAUCUCCAUAAAAAAUGAUACGAAAGGGUUUAUCAAAUCAUAUAUCAGAUGCUUUUUAGUUUUAUUAAUAACAAACAUCAUACACAUAUUUAAUUAGAGCGCUUUCAUUUCAUCACUAACAUACAUGGAACACAGCUUAUUCAUUGCAUACAAAAUUACAAACACACACCGACAUAUAUCUCUUACCCAAACUCGGACAAAGCUCAUGAUUUAUUGCAAUUUCACAAACUAGCUUAAGCAUUUAUGCUUAAGACGUAACAAAGCCACACGAGGAGCAAUUCACACUUCUUCGGUCAAGAGAUAUUCAUCGAUCCCUUUGGACAUAUCGACACAGAAUUGGAGAAGAGUCUCAGGGUGAGCCACCUCCUCGCUAAUUUUCUCAUACUCAAGGUGCCAGUGCGCAAUACUCCCUGAUCCUCCAUGCUUAGGGGUCACUUGGAUUGUGAUCACAAAGCUUUUAUACUCUUUCAUCAGAUCACCAUCUAGAACUCUAAACGUGAUCAAGUUCUUCUCCGGCUCCAACGCCUCGAUCCUCUCCUUUGCCACCUUUGCCACCCCAUCUACACCAAUUAUUUAACAUUACAUUUAUGUAGGUUUGACAAUCAAAACAAGUUUCAGUUUAAAAACAUCAUGAUAUUAUUGUCGAGGAUAUCUAUGUAAAGAUUUGUUUUCCGGUAUACUUAUUUUUUUUGGUUUUUGGUUUAGAAUUCUCUAGUUAUUUAAGCAAAAAAAAUUAAGUGAUAGUAAGAGUAGUUUAGUGAGUCUAAUCAACUUACCUAAGACACGUCGAUCUUUUGAAACUACAGAAUUUAGACGGUUGCUUACCUCGAAAAUUAGUCUUAAUUAAUUUUGGUUUAGAAUCCACCUAUACUUAAAAAUGUGUAUAAAUUUGACUUGCCAUGAACGUAGUUCCAGAUGACGACAGAGCCGACUUUGCCCCAUUCGCCUUCAUGCAGUUCACAGUUCUGAAUGUGGCCUGGAGUUGCUUUGGAGACAUGGUGUGGUUUCUCCACGAACAUGUUAUGAAAUUUUCCAGCUGAAACUUUGAUCUCCACGUCUGUCUCAAGCUUCCCCACCAAACUAGAAGCCUUGGUUUUUGCCAUUCUUUGUACUUUCGAUCUGCUUAUCUUGAGAAAAAAGGGUUUUGAGAAAGGAGUGUGUUACUGAGUUCUCUUCUGAAUUUCUAUUUGUAGAGGAAUGGUAGAGCAACCUUAGAAAAAAGAAAUUUUUUAUUCAUUAUAAUAAUUUCAUGAUUACUUGCGUUUCAUGUGAUCCGGGAUCACAUCAGUAUGACUCAGCUGUAGAAUUAUAGAUUGGUUGAUAAAUAUUAACUUUUUUUUUUAAUAAAAGAUAAAUAAAAAUAUUAAUCUUAACGCACUAUAUUUUACCUUCUAUAUUAUUCACACUAUUUAUUUAAUCAAUACUUUAUGAGGACUUUGCUUCAUUAGAUUCUGUUCUCUUUUGGUAUAAUGCUUCAUUACAUCUCCAUAGGAUACGACAGGGUUCUUUAAUGUAUGUGGUAGAAAUAUUUUGUUAAAAACACAUGUUUUAUAAUACUCUUUCCGUAUCACAGUAAGUUAUGUUUGAGCAAAAAUAUUUGUUUCAUUAAGUGAUUUUUUAUAUUCUUAAAACAUUUUUUUUAUGUCUUAAUUAUGAUUAAUUGUAUUAUUUCAUUUAUUUUGUUACUGGUUAAAUUGUGUUUAGGUAGAUAAUAAAUAAUGGUUUAUUUUGAUACAAAAGGAGUAAUAAAUACAAAAAAAAAAAUUAUUUCCUAAUCUAUUUGCGAAAACCUUAAAAUCUUUUAUUUUGAUACAAAAGAAGUAAUAGCAAACAUUAUAUACACACAAAGUAGAGCUAGCGCUUUCAUUUCAUCAACACAUAUGGAACACAUCUCAUUAUUUAUUGAAUACAAACAUGCAGGGCCGGUCCAACGUUUUCGGAUGCCCUACGUAAAUUAAGAAAAGCAUACCUUUUUUUCCAUUUUUAUACAAAAAUUUUUUUAACCUAUGCUCACUUGUUAAUUUACUUUAUCUUUUACAUUUAUUUAGUAAGGUUAAUUGAUCCUAAACUAUUAAAACUCUUUUGUAAAUUAACUCUUCAUUUGCUGGAAAAAAAUAAAAUAAAAACUUUAUUUUUAAUAAAAUUCACGUAUUUAUCAAAAAAUUAUCUUAGAAAAAGAGUAGAUUAUAGACAAAAUUAUAUUUUGUUAAGUUAAACCCCACGAAUAUGAUUAAAAGAAGCCCACCAAAAUAUUGAUCUUUUUAAAAAGAGGUUUAUAAUAUAAUUUAUAUAUAUAAAACUUUAAGAAAAUUGGCCUAAAAAAUGCCCCCAAAAUUUUGAUGCCCUAAUCCUUUGCUUCACAUGCUUGGCCUAUAAGCCGGACCUGCAAACAUGCAUAUGACACACCAGCAUAUAUAUCUCCUACCCAAACUUGGACACGGCUCAUGAUUUAUUGCAGUUUCAAAGACUAAUUUCAGCAGACAUGCUUAAGACGCACAAACUCAGAAAGCCACACUAGGAGCAAUCUCCACUUCUUCGGUCAAGAGAUAUUCAUCGAUCCCUUUGGACAUUUCAACACAGAAUUGGAGAAGAGUCUCAGGGUGAGCCACCUCUUCGCUAAUUUUCUCAUACUCAAGGAGCCAGUGCACAAUACUCCCUGGCCCUCCCUGCUUAGGAGUCACUUGGAUUGUAAAUGUGAUACUCUUAUACUCUUUCGUCAUAUCACCUUCUAGAACCCUGAAUGUGAUCAAGUUCUUCUCCGGCUCCAACGCCUCGAUCCUCUCCUUCGCAACCUUUGCCUCUCCAUCUAUACGCGAAUUAGUUAGAUCAUUAGAUUCGAUUCUGAGAAUAAACAUUAAUGUCGGUUCAAAAUCCUCAGCAUAUAUAAAUAUAAUGUAUGCAAAUACCAUCAUUCGCAUCUAUACAUUAUAUAUGAUGUGAAUAUUUUUUUUUAACUAGUUAGAUAAUAUAUGUAGCGUACCUCCUAUGAAAAUUUAAUUUUAAGGUUUGGAAUUAUCUUGUUUUCAAAAUAGAAUAAGUGAUAGUAGUUUAGUGACAGUCGAAUAUCAACUUACCCUAGCUAGACACAUUGCUUGCUACCACAGAAUUUAUAGUCUUAGUUAUUUUCGGCUUAGAAGCCACUGACUAUUAAAAAGUGUAUAAAGUAAUUACUUGCCAUGAAAGUAGUUCCAGAUGACAACGGUGCCGACUUUGCCCCACUCGCCUUCAUGAAGCUCGCAUCCCUGAAUGUGGCCUGGAGCUGCUUUGGUGAUAUGGUGUGGUUUCCCUGAGACCAGGUGAUGAAACUUUCCAGCCGAAGAUUUGAUCUCCACUUCUGCCUCAAGCUUCCCCACCAAACUAGAAGCCUCGGUUUUUGCCAUUCUUUGUGUUCUCGAUCUGCUUGUCUUGAGAAAAAGGAAAUAGGGUUUGUGAGAGAGGAGUGAGUUACUUCUUUAGCCUCUUUGUAGAGGGAUGGUUGAGCAACUAUUGAAAAAAUUAAAAGUUUUAUCCAUUAUAAUAACUAGGUUAUGAACCCCGCGAUAUCGCGGGGCACUCAUUUUCAACAAAUAUAUUUUAUUACGUUUAUGUAUUAAAUUAUUAUUAUAACAUAUUCAAAUAAUUAAAUUAUUAUAUAAAAUUAACUAUGUCUUAAAGUUAUAUCGUAAAUAUUUUCUAAAGAUAUUAAAAAAAAUUAUAAAUAAAAAUGUAAAAUAAUGAUUAAAAAACACUUUUGAAACAUUUUUUGUGAAUAUAAAAUUAUUUAUAAGUGAAAAAAAUAACUAACGAAGAGUUAUAAUAUAGAGAGGAAAAAUUAUAGCGGGUCAAAACCAAAAAGAUAUAAAAACACAACCAGAAAAAUAACCGUCAACACAAAAAGUAACCGUCAAUAUUUUAACGAAAAGUUGCGAUAAAAAGACAUAACCGAGAAAAAAUAACCGUAGAUAUUGUAACGGAAAGUUGCAAUAAAAAAACACAACCGAAAAAAAAUAACCAUCAAUAUUUUAACGAAAAGUAGCGAUAAAAAGACACAACAAAAAAGUAAAUGUCAACAUUUUUACGAAAAGUUAUGAUAAAAAGACACAUCAGAAAAAAUAACUGUCAACGAAAAAUAUAACCGUAAAUAUUUUAACGAAGAGUUACGAUAAAAAGACACAACCGAAAAAAAAUAACAGUCACUAUUUAAACAAAAAAUUUCAAUAAAAAGACACAAACGGAAAAAAAUAACCUUCAAUAUUUUAACGAAGAGUUGCGAUAAAAAGACACAACCGAGAAAAAUAACCGUCAAUAUUUUAACGGAAAGUUUCGAUAGAAAGACACAACCGAGAAAAAGAAACCGUCGAUAUUUUAACGGAAAGAUACGAUAAAAAGACAAAAACAAAAAAAGAAACCGUCAAUAUUUAAUUUUAACUGAAAGUUACGAUAAAAAGACACAACCGAAAAAAUAACCAUCAAUGAAAAAUUGUAACCGUAAAUAUUUUAACAAAGAGCUAGGACAAAAAGAUAAAACUGAAAAAAAAUAACCGUUAAUAUUUUAUCGAAAAGUUGUGAUAAAAAGACACAAACGAGAAAAGUAAUGUUAAUAUUUUAACGGAAAGUUGCGAUAAAAAGACACAACCCAAAAAAUAAUAGUCAACGAAAAAAAGAACCGUCAAUAUUUUAACGAAAAGUUGCGAUAAAAAGACACAACCGAGAAAAAAUAACCGUCAAACUUUUAACGGAAAGUUGAAAUAGAAAGACACAAACAAAAAAAAUGACCAUCAAUAUUUUAACGGAAAGUUACGAUAAAAAGACACAACCGAAAAAAUAAUUGUCAACGAAAAAAAUAACCGUCAAUAUUUUAACGAAGAGUUGCGUUAAAAAGAUACAACCGAGAAAAAAAAACUGUCAAUAUUUUAGCAAAAAAUUACGAUAAAAAGAAACAACCGAGAAAAAUAUAACCGUCAAUAUUUUAACAGACAAAAAAAGACACAAUCGAGAAAAAAAUAUCGUCAAUAUUUUAACAAAAAGUUAUGAUAAAAAACAGAAAUGAAAAAAGUAACCGUCAAUAUUUUAACAGAAAGUUGCGAGAAAAAAACACAACCAAAAAAAUAACCGUCAAUGAAAAAAGUAACCGUUAAUAUUUUAACGAAAAGUGCGAGAAAAAGACACAACCGAAAAAUAUCCGUCAACUAAAAAAUUAACCGUCAAUAUUUUAACGAAGAGUUGCGAUAAAAAGACACAACCGAGAAAAAAUAACCGUCAACAUUUUAACGAAAAGUUGCGAUAAAAAGACACAACCGAGAAAAAAUAAUCGUCAAUAUUUUAACGGAAAGCUGCGAUAAAAAGACACAAACGAAUAAAGUAACAACCAAUAUUUUAACGGAAAAUUGCAAUAAAAAGACACAACAAAAAAAAACUCGUCAAUAUUUUAAUGAAGAGUUGCGAUAAAAAACAGACCCGGAAAAAUAACCGUUAAUAUUUUAACGGAAAGUUACGAUAAAGAGACACAACCGUUCAGAAGUGCAAAAUACAUUUAUUGAGGUUGUUAUUUUGGUUAAUAAAACCAAUUUGAUAUGUAGUCUAAUGGUUGAUGUAAAAAAACUUCGUAGUAUUACUAACUAUACAAAAAAUGCAAUGAAAUUAUAUAAUGGAAAGACGUAACUUUAAAUGAAUAAAUGCAACUAUAAAGAUAUAACUGUAAACUGAAAAGAUACGACUGUAAUUGAACAAAUAUAACCGUAAAUAAUUCAACGAAAAUUCAAAGAGAAAAUUCAAUAAAAAGACAUAACCGUAAAAAAAUUACCGAUUUAAACGAAAAGUUGCGAUAAAAAGACGCAACCGUUCAGAUGUGCAAAUGGUAUUUAUUAGAUUGCUAUUAUAUAUAGAUUUUCAUGACAACUUGCGUUUCAUGUGAUCCCGAUCCCAUCAGUGUGACUCAGCUACAAAAUUACUUGUAUCAACCGUUCGUAAUACGAUAGACUCAUCAACAUGAUUCAUCAUUCACGUACGACGCAACUUUCGAUUUUCGCUGUUGUCAAGUCUCUGCUCAUUUUUUUAUUUUUAAAAUAUUUUAAAGAACUUUCUUUAUUCACGUUUUCAUCCUUAUACAUUUUUGCUCAUAUUAAUGUAAUCACCAUGUACCGUAUUUGUCAUAGGAAAAAAGAUGGUUGGCUACACGAAGUAUGCUACAAUACAUGACCACACAUUCGAAGUUUAAAAAUGUAUCCCUAACUACACAAACUAUAUGUAUCGCAUGCCCACAUAUACGAACUAUAUGUAGUCAUGUCGCCAACAUCACAAACAUGUUAUUCCGAUACCUUUUUCGCCGGAAUCUGGUAUGGACCAGUUUGACCGGCGUUGGACCGUCGUUGACCAACAUAAAUAUUCAAAAAAAAAAAAAUUUAGUUUUUGGAAUAUUUAGAAAAUUAGGUUAUGUGACUCAUAUAAAAUUAUAUAUAAAUUUACCAUAUAUAUUACACAUAUACUCAUAUAUAAAUAUAUUGUAUAUAUAUACUCUACCCUUAAAUUUAUAAAUUAGGUUAAAUUUGAGAAAUUCCAAACUAAACUAAAAAUAAAAUAAAAACCAAUUAGGUAAAAUAAUUGUAAAUAUGAAAUUUUCUAUACUCUCUAGUCUAAAGUUUUUUGUAUAAUAUGUUGUUAAUUUUUGUAUCUAAAAUUAUUACAAAAAAUUCUUUUAAUAAUACAAAAAAAAUUAACAAAAUAUUAUAAAAAAAACUUUAGACUAGAGAGUAUUUAAAAUUUUCUAUUUAAAAUUAUUUUACUUAAUUGGUUUUUAUUUUAUUUUUAGUUUAGUUUUGAAAUUAUUGAAACUAACUAAUUAUAAAAAUCAAUGCAUUGAAUAUAUAUACAAAAUAUUUUUAUAUUGAAUAUUGUAUAUAUUUUUUUAAUUAUACAAUUUCCCUAUUAUAAAUGAUUCAAUAACAUAAUUUUCUAAAUAUUAAAAAACUAAAUUUUUUUUUUUUAAUAUUUAUGUUGGUCAACGCCGGUCAAACUGAUCAAUGCCGGAUUCCGGCGUAAAGUGUACCAGGAAAAAAUGUUCGUGAUGUUAGCGAUAUGACUACAUAUAGUUCGUAUAUGUGGGCAUGCGAUACAUAUAAUUUGUGUAGUUAGGGAUACAUUUUUAAACUUCGGAUGUGUCGCCAUGUAUUAUAGUAUACUUCGUGUAGCUAGGUAUCUUUUUUCCAUUUAGAUAUGUUUUUUAUUGAUAGCGUCAUUAGAUAUGUUCUUUAUUAUAAAACCAAAAUUUGAGAACAUGAACAUAAACCAAUUGUAUGGCACCAAAGUCCGACUCCUAUCCAUGGAUUAUACUGAGCUUAGUGUCCAAAAAAAACACAAUUUAAGAAAUCCAAAAUUCACAAAAAAAAAUGUCUCUUUUUAAAAAAGAAAUAUAUAUACAAAAUUUCACAAAAUAUUUCUAAUUUUGUUUUUAAUUUUAAGAAAUCUUACUAAAUCAGUCUGAACAAAACUUGAAAAAGCAUUACAUUUAUGGGAAAAAAAAUCAAUAAUAUUCUGGGAUAUUCAUGGUGAACAAUAUUUUUUUUUUAAAAAAGAAAAAUUGGAAAAGGAUGUGGAUGUGGAUAGGGAUGGACAUAACUUACAAUUUUAUCAAUCAUAAAAUAUAUCUGCCAGGUGACGUGCCGACAAUUUGAAAAGGUAUUUGGUAAUCGUCACAGUCGGUUAGAAUUAUCAAUUGUUAUGUGUUGGGUGAAAUUUGGUAAUGUAUUACUACCCAAAAAGCCAAUGACAAUCAGAUCAAGAGUUUAUUAUUCAAUUUGAUGGAUAAUCUUAUAGUUCUUUUUUAUAAUUUUUUUUUGGGCAAAGAUAAUCUUAUAGUUUAUGGGCACGGGUGGUGAGAUCAAAGUAUAAAGUGGCGGACAUUCAUGAUGAAUCAUGGAUGGUUGUAAAGGGUACGUGGUCAUCGACUUGGCGCAGCGUUGGAGUCGGCCUGAGAGAAGUGGUUGUUCCGGAGUUAACAUGGAUUCUAGGUGAUGGAAAGGAAAUCAGAUUUUGGAGAGACAAGUGGCUUGCCGGGGUACCUCUUCUCGAAGCUGCGGUGACUGAGCUACCAACGGGGUUUGCAGAAAUCAGAGCAAGGGAUCUAUGGAUUGACGGGUUGGGCUGGGACAUGUCACGGAUUGCUCCAUAUGUCUCGAGAAAUACAGUGUUGAGACUCACUGCGGUCGUCUUAGAUGGAGUCACCGGUGCGACGGAUAGACUCUCUUGGGGACUAAAUCCGGAUGGCAAAUUCACAGUCAAGUCAGCUUAUGCAGCGAUAACACGAGACAGAACUCCGAGGCAGAACAUGAGUGCGUUUUACAAUCAAAUUUGGCGAGUUGUUGCACCGGAACGAGUUCGCACUUUUCUCUGGCUUGUUGUGAAUCAAGUGAUAAUGACAAAUAUGGAAAGAUUAAGAAGACAUCUCAGUGACACGAGCCUAUGCCCGAUUUGCAGAAGUGGAGAGGAGAGUAUCCUUCAUGUGUUGCGAGAUUGUCCAUCCAUGGAAGGUAUUUGGCGCCGGCUCGUUCCACAGCGGAGAAGAGCUGCUUUCUUUGCUAGCUCGUUACUUGAGUGGGUCUACAAAAAUUUAAGUGAUACGUCGGAAGUAGAAGGGAGACCUUGGGCUACACUUUUUGCAGUCUCUAUAUGGUGGAGUUGGAAGUGGAGGUGUGGAAACGUGUUCGGGAAUAUAGCUAAAUGCAGGGACCGAGUAUGCUUUCUUAAAGACCUCGCAGUGGAGGUACAAAAAGCAAAUCUUGCGAUAACAGAGGAGGAGCCGAGGAGAACGGACAGAGAAUUGAGAAUGGUAGCAUGGGUUCCACCAUGUGUAAGUUGGACAAAAUUGAAUACCGAUGGAGCUUCUAGAGGUAAUCCCGGUUUGGCAACAACGGGAGGUGUAUUGCGUGAUGGGGAAGGGAAUUGGAUUGGGGGUUUCGCACUAAAUAUCAGGAUAUGCUCAGCACCGUUAGCGGAACUUUGGGGAGUCUACUACGGCCUAUACAUAGCAUGGGAGAAGGGUAUAAGGCGAGUAGAUUUGGAAGUGGAUUCGGAGAUGGUGGGGAAUUUUCUUAAGACAGGGAUCGGGGAGGCCCAUCCACUGUCCUUCCUAGCACGCUUGUGCUAUGGCUUCUUAUCAAGGGACUGGAUAGUCCGGGUGUCACACGUGUAUAGAGAAGCGAAUCGUCUCGCAGACGGAUUAGCUAACUAUGCGUUUACUCUACCACUAGGCUUUCAUAUGUUAGAUGAUUGUCCGGAGUCUGUUAUUUCGGUUAUGUUAGAAGACAUUGAAGGGGUGUCGCGCCCCCGAAAUGUGCGUUUGUAAUUGUUCUUUUAUUUUAAUAAAUAACGGGAGACUUGUCUCCCCUCGGCUUACCAAAAAAAAAAAAACAACUAACGAUUCCAAAUCAAAUUAUAAUUAUAGAAUUACUAGAUAUAUGAUCAAUUUACUAUGUGUGGCUACACUAACCACAUUUAUCAUACUUAUACCAAUUAAUCUCCUUAAUUUCCAACACCACAUUUAUCAUAUUUAUACCAUUUAAUCUCCUUAAUUUACACCAUUCGAUCCGUAGUCACCAUUUGGAUUUUUUUAAUUUGUUUUUUUUUCUUGUUUGCCAAAUUUAUUUCGUAUUUUUAAAUAACAUAUAUAGGAUACGUGACAGAAAAAAAAUGCUUAGUCAGCUAAUCUAUCGGCACAUUUGUCACCUCAGCGAGAUUUGAAUCCGAUUAACUUUUAUUCAGAGUACAUUCUUCACACAAGACUUUUUAUUCAUAUAACUUUGGUACAUACAACACACACACAUGGCUUAGAGAGAAGCAAAGUAACCGUUGUUAUAAACAAAGUAAAUAUAUAUACAAAGUAAUAAAACACAUCUAAAAUCUCUAUGUUUUGAGAAGAUUAGAUUCAAUAUCUUUAGUGAGAUAGACUGCAAAAUCCAUGUAUUUGUUCGGAGCUGGAGAAUCUGCAUUAAGUUUCUCGUAUUCCCAGCUCCAUCUUGCUAUACUUCUUCCAUGAAGCUUUGGUAUGAUCUGAAGAUUACAUUUGAAGCUACUAUAGUUCUCCAUCACAUCUCCUUCGAACACAAACACAGUCAUCGAUUUGUUUGCCUCGUCUAUUACCACUCUCUCCUUCAUUUUCUCCACUUUUCCAUCUGUAACACAAACUCGUGAAAUCAGUUUGAUACAUAGAGUAGCUUAUAGUAAGAGGAGACAAAAGAAGUUAUGGUUUUAGUACCAACAGACAAAGUCCAGUUCUUGGUGCCUUUAGAGUCAUCACCAAUAUGCUCCUCCACGCUAAGUAUUUUCUCUGGAGAUAGCUUUGGUACGCUGCGUGAAGUAGACUUGAUAGCUUGGAAAAUCUUAUCAGCUGAUACAUUGAUCUCGACUUCUAUCAUGGAUUUCGCCAUCUGAGCCAUCACUUCUCUGUUGUUGAUCUUUUUGGUCUUAGUGUAGCUCUGAUUAUAAGUAGUCUUUUGGAGGAAGAAUCUGUACCAUGCCUAGCAUUUACGCUAGUUUUAUAUUAAUAGUUUCUUUGUUCUCUUCACAUACAAGACUCAUUUGGGGAAUUGAUUCACCGAGAAUCUGAAUCUCCACCCAAAAACUGUGAUAAAACUUUACAUAAUUCACAUUCCAAGCCUCAGGGGAACAAUAAGGCUCACCUCUUGAGACUUCGUAUAAGUCACAGAUGCAACAGUUAUGUUUCUCCUGAGCGGGUCGUAUGCCUUGGGUCUGACUGGCAUUUAAGCGAUUGAUCUCGUCCUGAGCGCAAGCUUGAGCUGCCGCCAAUGAUUCGAAUCGCAUGUUUGUUCUUGCUUCUUGCUGGCUCAGGUGCGUGAGGAUGUUCUGGAGCAGGUCGUUUGGUUCAGUUCGACCUUGGUUUCCUCUGACCGCUCCACCUUCAGCUUCAGUGUGUGAGGUCGAGAAGCGCUUUUGCUUGUUGGAAACAGGUCAACAAUCAAUUUCUUCUCUGCUCUCUUCACCUUCUAGGGGCUCUUUUGGUGGCGGUGAUGAACCAAACAACUGCACGGUUAGGCUGCCACCUGCAUGGGAUCAGAAGGUUGUCAUUAGCUGGAGCCUAACAGAUCAUUUUACUUUUCUACUCAACUGCUACAUAGCCUUAAAUACACUGGAUUCAGCCCAAAAUUGUGCUGUAAAAAACUUUUAAGGAACAAAUAUACAGGAGUGACAGGGAAAAUGACAAUUAGAUACCAUCUCGGACUUAUGUUGUCAGAUAUGGAUAACAUCUAGAAAAUGAAUAAAGAACCAGAUCCAGAUGGGCUGAAUUCUUGAAUUUACAGCUCGAUCCAACCAGUCGUUUCUCACCUCUCACCAAGGAUGAACCAUGCAAUCCCCGCACCCCAGAGAGGCUCCAAGCCAUAGAUUACUACAGUGUCACUAGUAGAUACAUCACACAUAGCAGUCAUCUGCAUGGACAGAACAAUUUAAAUGUAAAGAGAAUAUUACCAAAAUGAAAUUGAUGUAUACAACACCACAAAUGCAAAAGUGCAUUUGUGUAUUUUUCACAUGUGAGCUAUGCAUCAACAAAUGAUUAAAUUGAGAAACUAGAAAGAUAGAUUAGGGGAGGGCUAGAAAACUUAUUUACCUCUAUCCACAGGCAGACACCGGUUGAAAAAGCACCGGCGCAGGUAUACAUGGAAACGCAACCUUUCCAUUCCCAAGAUGAGUUCCAUGUCCAGGAAGAUGGGUAGACCAGCUCCCACCCGAAAUACCACACCAUCGAAAGGAGAGCAACCACACAUGUCUGAGUGGAUAUGGCAUACAUACAUAUACAAACAUACAACUCCUUCAAACCAUGAAAGUACAGCAUCACAAAAUACACUUAAACUAUAAAGCAGAGAGCUUUUCUGACCUCAUAGCCAAGAAGGGGCAAGAACUUGUCCUUAGGUGUUGUUCGUGAGAUAUAUUCAGUCCUCAGCAUAUGAACUCCGAAGAACACAACGUAGCUAGUCAGUCAAAGUCCUGAAAAGAAGAAAUUUUACUUGUCAACGGAACCUACACAUGGAGAAGAGCCACUAGAUUCCAGCAAUCCAGACUCCCAAGAUAGACACUAGAGCUCCAAACCACGUACGUGCAGGAAUUAUAGCUCCAAGCAUACCAUCAAGAAACGAAACCACAAUAAUCUGUCACAUUCAAGAAACAGUUUCUAAGCAAAAUCUAGAGCUCAAGGAGUGAACAAUCAAACCCAAAUUUCUACUAUAACUUGGAUCAACCCAAAUUCGAGAAAAAUACAGAACAGAGAUCAAAGAUUGAAACUUUAAAACUAUGCAGCGAUUCCAAAACACAUAUGUACACACAAAAACUAACAUAAACGUAGUAGAACACUUGGAGGGAAUAAUCAGAGCUUACCAUAAAUGAUUGUAAUGGCAUUGAGAAGAAGUAUGCUCCUAAAUUUCGUAGAAUCAAACAAGAUCUUUCACCACAGAGCUCGUUUACCAUACAAAGAUUUGAAAUUUAGGUAUAGUUUCUUGACUUCUUCUUAUGAGGGCCAAUCUCGUUCGAGGAUAACGAAUAAGGGUUUGAUUGGAAAUAGCCUGUGGUGAGGAGAAGCUACGAACUUGAUGACCGCCAUGGCAGAUCUAAAAGAACAUUUGACUAAGCUUUGUCUCUGCCGAUUUGUCUGGUCUUUUCCUGUUUCUCGUUUAAGCCACUGAACCAAAUUAGUAUAACCAUGGCGUCGUGUUAAGAUAUAUUCCAGUAAGACAGUGCCACGCGGACCAUUUAAAAAGACGCUCCACGUGUUAUUAUUUAAUUUGUGUACAGACAAAGCAUUUUUAAUUUUCUGAUUUUGUGGAGAAAUGAAAGUGAACAAAAUUGAAUGGUGAUUUUAAUAAUUAUCAAAUUUAACUGAUUUUUCUAACAUUUAGUGGUCAAAACAAACCCUUUUUGAAACAAAAUUCUUGGUGAGAAAAAAAUUAAUCUUCGCUUCAAAGUUCAAAUUAAUAACUUCAAACGUACAAGUGUGCAUACACGUACGUAUGACACACACCAACAGAUAUCUCUUACACAAGCUCGGACCAGUGCCGGCUCAAAUAGGGCGAGCGGUGCGAUAGUCAGGGAUCCAAUUCCGUGCUCCAAUAAUUAAGGGGCCCAUUUUAAUUUUUUUUUUAUAAAAGUAUUAAAAUUUUAAAUUACAACAUAAAAAUAAAAUUUAGAAGGGCCCAUAAAUUUUUUUAUUAUUGUUUUUAGUUUUAAUAAUUAACUUUUUAAUGAAAAUAUCAUACAAUUUUUUUAUAUAACACAAAUAACACCAAAAAAAAAAAUUCUAAGGGCCAAAAUUUUUUUUUGCCUAGGGCCUAUAAUACUGUUGAGCCGGCACUGGCUCGGACACGUACGGCUUACGUGCCUAAGACGUCGCGCACACACAUAUAUAUAUAUAUAUAUAGAAUAGAUACAUAUGAGGAUUCUUCCUCUCUAUUCCUCGGAUAAGAGAUGUUCAUCCAUCUCUUUAGAGACUUCAACAGCUAACUGGAGGAGAGUUUCAGGGUGAGCCACCUCUUCGUUGAUUUUCUCAUACUCAAAGUGCCAAUGUGCAACACUUCCAGGUUCUCCUUCUUUAGGGGUCACUUGGAAGGUCGUCACGAAACUCGUGUACUCUUUCAAUAAAUCACCCUCUACCACCUUAUACGUGACCCGAUUGUGAUCCGGAUCCAGUGACUCGAUCCUUUGUUUCGCCACCUUUGCCUCGCCAUCUACACCAAGAUUAACAUUCACAUAUAUAUAUAUUUAUAGGUUUCCAAAAUAAGAGAGGAUCUAAAGUAAUCUAUAUUAAUACAUCAUAUGCAUCAGGGGUGAUCCGAGCUGUUACCACCGGACCUCAGGAAUAGUAUAGCCGUUUGAUUUAUAUAAAUUUUCAUAAAUAUUUAUAUAAACAAAGAAAUAUAAAGUUAACUUGCCAUGAACGUAAUUCCAGAGGAUGACGGCGCCAACUUGGCCCAUUUCGCCUUCUUGCAGCUCAGCGCUCUGAAUGUUGGAUGGAGUUGCAUUGGACAUAUGGUGCGGUCUCCCGACAAGCAGGUCAUGGAACUUCUCCACCGAAGAUUUUAGCUCUACAGUUGUUUCAAUGAUCCCGACCAAACUAGAUGCCUCUUCCGCCAUUCUUUGUACCGCUGAUUUGUAAUUAAUGUCUCUAAGUGUUUCGAGUUUUUGAGAGUGAAUGGAUUCCCUUCUGAGCUCUUUUGCCUCCUUUAAAUAGAGGAAUGUGUAAACCGUGAAUAAGACUGAAUUUUAUUUAUUUGUGUUAUAUUAAUAAUAUUUUGAUUUGUUCUUUUUCCUAUGUGAUCACCUUUAUCCACCUGCCGCUAACUGAUAAGCCUGAAUUAAUUGAUAUUUUAAAUAUAGUUCGUAGCUCGUGUCAAACAAAAGAUUUUGGGGGAGUAUAGCAUUAGUGGGAAAGCAGUAAGAAGAUAAUUAGUAGUAAUAUCAAAUCAUGUGUUAGGGUUUCAAAACCAGAACCAAUGGGUUCAUAAAGAGUAUGUAUCCCUUCGCUAUUUCUGGAUAGAUACGGAGUUUUCUUUAACACCAUUUUUUUUUUUAAAUGAUACGGAGUUUUGAAGAGUAGUUUAAAGAUAAACCUUUGAUUGGUAUAGCUUGGAUGUGAAUGAUCAUUGAAUCCAUAUUAAAAAAAUGAUGAGAUUUAAAUAUUCAAAUAUUCAACUACACGAGUCAUUUUAUUCUUUCCGCUAAUAGUUGUUUUUUGUUGAUAAGCUUCUUGAAAAGUUCUUACUUUGUUGAAUAAAACUUUUAAAUACAUGUAUUAUUUAUUGGGUAUUUUAUAUUUCUAUAUAAUUCCUAAAAUAUCAUAUCCUUUUUUGUCAACUCUAGCAGAUCAUAAAUUUUGUAAAGGAAUACACGUUAUUUCAUAAUUUUAAUUGAUAAAUAAAAAAAUAGUAUGAAUUAUAGCUACGGUGAAUGUUCAAAUUAUGUUUUGGUUUUCUGACCCAAAGAGAUUGUGUGUUCAGACUUCAGACUCGAAGUAUCUUGGUUAUUAAAAAAUAAAACGGAGACCAAAUUUGGGAAUGUCAUCGUGACCCAUCUAUUUGAAAUAUGGAUAAGAAAUGGGAAGAUACAAUCAACGUAGAGGAUAGUAUCAUACAUAAACUCAACUAAGACACUUUGGGAGAAGUUCUCCUCCCAUUUAAAGAAACUUUUCAUAUUUUAAUAAUUAUAUUUAUGUGGGAAGACACUCAAAUUAAAUGUGCAAUGCAUAUGCUCUAUAGCUAUACUACUACGUACUACAUGUCGCUUCAAAUUAAAAAUUUCAAACAUAACUCAACCGAAGUAGUAUGCAUACACGCAUGCGCGAUGAGACACACAGACUGUUAUAAACUUGGGCACGGUUCAUUAUUUAUUUUACAUGUGGGUUCAAAGUACUAGAUCCUCUACUCUUCGGUCAAGAGAUGUUCAUCAAUCUCUUUGGACAUUUCAGCGGCAAACUGGAGGAGAUUCUCAGGAUGAGCUACCUCCUCGUUUAUUUUCUCAUACUCGAAGUGCCAGUGCACCACACUCCCUGACCCCUUAUGCUUAGGAGUCACUUGGAUUGUGAUCACAAAGCUCGUGUACUCUUUCAUCAGAUCACCUUCUAUAACCUUGAACGUGAUCAAGUUCUUCUCCGGCUCUACUGCCUCGAUCCUAUCCUUCACCACACUUACUUUUCCAUCUGCACCAAUUGUUUUAAUAUUUUACUACCCUAGAUUUGGCUUUACGAAUCAACAUGAGUAUUAUUUCAAAAACAAAUAUAUAUAUGUAUAUACUGUAAUCAUAGUAGUAGUAGUCACCGUGACGUCUUGUUAGUCAAUAUUUGAGAUCUAUUUCUGUUUCACACAUUUUUCUUAAUUAGUUACUAUGAAAUUUAUGUAGCAUUUAUUAAUUAGUUAAUAUAUAGGAUUUACUUGCCAAUAACGUAGUUCCAGAUGACGAUAGAGCCGACUUUGCCCCAGUCUCCUUCGUGUAGAUCACAGCCUUGAAUUUUGCUUGGAGUUGCUUUGGAGACAUGGUGUGGUCUCUCGACAAACAUGUGAUGGAACUUUCCAGCCGAAGCUUUGAUCUCAACUUCUGUCUCAAGCUUACCCACUAAACUAGACGCUUCUGCCAUGAGUUUUGCUUAUCUCAAGAAAAUAUAAGAUAAAGACUUAGGGAAGGAGUAUGUUUCUCUUCUUGAGUUCUUAGACCAUCAUUAACGGUGGUGCCUUAGCAUAAAUCUUAGGAAAUAAAGAAUUAAAAUUAAAUGAAAAAUGGUUUUAAUCUUAAGAACGUUGCUUAGUUAAGCAACAUUUAUUUAUCUAAGCGGCGGACAGGUGUCACUCAGAGACAAGAGAAAGAAAAAAUUGCCCCGAUUUCAUUCUGUCGUUUACGCGUUUCUCUCUCUCUCUCCAUGAUGAACAUCACAGACAAGGAGGAGGAGACUAGGAAGAUCGAUUUUAUCAAUCUCGAUUGAAAAAAAUGGUACGUUUUAUUAUUUCUCAGUUCAUCGUUUUAUUCAGUUAAUUGUUAUAUUUGUCAAUCGCUUGAUUUAACUUCUAUUCCUUGAGGUGGAAAAUUGGGGAUAAACCAUGUUUGUUUAUUGUAAUGGAUCUCCAAAGCCCUAAAAGUAUUUUUGAUUGAUUGUGAUUGUGAUUGCGAUUAGUAUGAAUCUCUUUGGAGAUUUAUGGUUUUCGAUGCUAGGAUUUGGUUCUUGGGUUUGAUUUUUUUGGAAUAAUUUGAUCUUUCGUGAUUAUCUCACUCGAUUAUCAUAUUGUUUGUUGGUAAUUUGAGAAUUUUUGUUAAUAACUUGAUUCGUUUUGACAAUUUGAUAAUUGCCAGGUUUUAGCUUGUUAUCGAAAUUGUCUCUAUGAUUUGGCUAAUCUAAUCAAUUGCUUGCGUUCUGUUUUUUUUUUUACCUUUUUGAUUAUUGAGGAUCAUAUCUGGUUUUGUGUUUUCAUUUACUGAAAGUUCGUGAUAUGAAUUCUAUUGUUAUGAUUGUUAUUACAAUAUAGUUUCGGAGAAUUUCCGGUUGUUGGAGGAGCUUGAACGUGGGGAGAAAGGUAUUGGGGAUAGAACUGUGAGCUAUGGAAUGGAUAAUGGAGAUGAUAUCUAUAUGCGUUCUUGGACUGGCACCACCAUUGGUCCUCACAACGUAGUUAUAUCUUUUUCUUUAUCUACUUUUGUCCUCAUAUCUGCAACUUAACUAUGUUAGCAAUUGUUUUAAGAAGCAUUGAUUAAAGUUCUAAGUUAUCUUCAUUACUAGUUCGAUUUUCCCUUCCUUCAUUGCUAGACUACAAAAAGUCAAAACCACAUUGUGUUUUAGGCAUCAAUCUUAUCGAUACAUGAUCUCUUACGCUGCAUUUUUUUCUUUUGCUUUUGUUUAGUCUUCCUGUUGUUUCCAGUUUCAUCUUUGUUUACGGUUUGGUUUGGACAAGUUUGGUUGGACCAGUUUCAUUAGUUUCAUCUUUGCUUUUCAAGUUUGGUUGGGUCAUCUUACAUGUGGAUCAUCUUUGUUCUCUAAUUAGCAACAUGUCUCUGUGAAUGAUUGCACACCACAAAACAUUAUUUUUAUAUCAUGUAUUUGUGUUCUUUUCCUAGUUUGUGUUCUUGUACCUAACUCUUUAUUUUUUUCCAUAUAUACAACACUUUUGUUUUACAAAAAACACAAACACUUCUCUCCAUCUCAUCAAACCACUCUUUCAUUGCUAUAUAUGUGUUGUAACCAAAUUUUUACUAACACUUUUAAGAACCAAAAAAUUUAACCAAAACACUUCAAAUUUAACCAAAACACUUACAAUUUUUAAGAACCAAAACAUUUAAACUUCAAAAAUUAAGUUUUCGUUUGCAACAGUUAUUAAGUUUUCUAAAAUUAAAAUUGUUAAAUUAAUUUCUUUUUAAAAUUAAUAUUUUUUUUCUAAGAACCACAUGUUAAGAGCCUACCAUUAAAGACACAUAAAUCUUAACCCAAAAAUGAAAACUCUUAACUAUCUUUUUUACAAAAUUAAUACUUAAAUACUCCUAAGAACCAACAUUAAGAGACCCUUGAUAAUUAUGCUCUUAGCCUCUAUUUGAAGAGGAAUGAGUGAGAAAGUACUGAAGAAUAAUUUUACCAAAAAUAAAUAAAAAAUUUGAAGAAUAGAAAGACAAAAGAAAGGUGUUGAAGAAUAGAUAGAUCUUUUUUGUGCCUUAUAAAUUAUAAUAUCAUGAUUAGCUUUAACAUCACGGUCCCAUUAUAUUAAUUGCCCUACCCAAUACUUUAUAGUUUAUUUGACGUUUUUUUUUUUUUUUUUUUGUGCACUUUUAUUUGACGUUUAACCUGCCAAACUAUAUGCGUUGCUCACUAUAUAUAUAUAUAUAUAUAUAUAUAUAUAUAUAUAUAUAUAUAUGGAUAUUAUAUUAUUGAUCGAUCACACAAUUCAUGCCGUUUCUUUCACUAUCAAGUUUUCUAAUCAAGGUAACACAAAUCGACAAAAACAAAUAAUAACCUUAUUAUAUAAAGUACGUCUAAAAGUCAGUAACUCAUAAAAUCGUUAUACGGGGUAAUUAUAUUGAUCUUAGAUUUUGAUAUGUAUAAAAAAAAAUAUCCUUUUUAAAACAAAAAAAAAGAUAAUUGUAAGUAAUUAUAAAUUUAAAUAAUUUUAAAAAUAUAAAAAAUAAUUAUAAGGAUAAUUAUAAAUAAUUAAUAUUUCUGUAAACAAUUUUAAAAAAGUCAAAAGAUAAUAAUAAGGAAAUUAUAUAUUUUUAUAAUUAAAAAUAUAUAUUCCAAUCAAACAAGAAACAAAUCAUGUAAAUUUAUUAAAAAGGAAACAUAUGUUAUUAUAUAACUAAUAUGAUAUAUUUUUGUUUCUCAAAGUUAAUAAUUAAUAAUAUCAUGAACCAUUAUCAGUCAAAGAUUUUAUCAUGUGUCAUGAUUUAAUUUAAAAUUUGAUAUUAUUUAUCUCAAUUUUCUUUCCAAUUAGAAAUAUGUGAUGAUUUGAUUAAACUAAUCCUCAUAUUAUUUAUUUGAGUUUAUUUUUUCAAUUAGAAAUAUGAGAGAUCAAUUUUUUCCUUUUUGUAAUAUUUUUUACUUAACUGUGUUUUUUUGUUUGUCCUCAAUUAUGAUUAUAGUAUUGUUAGAUUGUUUAUUUAAUUUUUUUCAUAUUUAAAUUAUCAAAUAUUAAUAUAUCAUCAUGUUUAUAAUUUUUUUGUUUUUAGUUUAACUGUUGUAUCUUUAAAUUAUUUAUUUUGGUUUCUACGUUCAGUUUAAAUUAUAUAAGAUAUAAUAUAUCAUAGUUCUAAUGAUUUUAGAGAGAGAUAUGUGUCAUGAUUUAAAUUAAAAAUUUACAUUAUUUAUAUCAAUUUUAUUUUCUAAUUAGAAAUAUGUGAUGAUUUUUAAGUAAAAUUUUAUAUUGUUUAUUUGAAAUUCUUGAAUAUGUAAGAACCAUAUAUGCUUCUUGAUUUUGAUAUUUUGAAUUUAAUUAUACUACUUCAAAGUUAUUUAUUUAAAUUUUCUAUGUUCAUAUUUGAAUUAUAUAAGAUUCAGAUAUCAUCGUGCUUAUAAUUUUCUGAAUUUAUCAAUUUUUAUUGAUUGAACAUAAAAUCAUUGCAAUCGAGUAUAUAGGAAUCGAAACCGCAACAUUAGCUUGGAAGGCUAAGGGAUUUAGUUGAUUUAUCAUCUUUAUAUUUUUAACGUGUCUAAUUAAAAACCACUUUGGUUUCAUUCACCAAGUUUAUGAUAAAUAUUUUUAAUUUUAGUUCUUCAUAUAAGUAUACCAUGAGUUAUUGCUAACAGUACAAAAGUAAAUAUUUUUUUACUUUUGAAAAAAAAUUUCUACUUAUAACGUUGUUAAUUAAUUUUUUUUUGUUAAAUUUGAUUUUAAUUUAAAAAAAAAUUAAACCCGUUAGUGGUUUAAAAUUUGUAAUAUCCGCCUAUAUAUUUUUCUUAUAGAUUCAAACUAAAGUCGGUCGCAUUUCAUAAUCGUCACUUCUUUCUGUCUGUUGCCGGGUAAAGGUCAAUUCAACUGUUGAGCAUUAAUUAAAUAUCAAAUUUUUCUAUUUCUCCCGCGCAUUGACAAAAUAUGCAUUAGGUUUUUUGUAAUAACUAGCAAAACUAAACUUUUUUUCAAUCGUUUUUUGACCCUCAGAGACAAACCUCCUUAUUAUCUAUUUCUUCAGCACAAAUUCACUAUAAAAAAAUGUUUUCUUGACUCUGACAUUAAAAUUAAAAUUAGUUUUCAGUAAGAGAUAAAAAAUAUAUAACAAAGGAAAACAUAGUUCCGAUCUGUUUCGUGGCUUUGGUGGAUAGGCCCGGCAUAUACUUUGAUUAAUUUUAGAGUAAUUACACUACAUACCCUAAGUAUUUAAGUCAAAGGAGAAGUGGCAAACCUGUAAAUAAAUGAUCAACUGAAAACAUGAUAAAAAGACUAAAAUACCCCUAAAAUCAAACACUUCAUUCUUUCUUCCUUCCUUCUUUGUUUCUCUUUACUUUUAUUAUUUAUUUUUUUCUUUAUCUUUUUUCUUUACUUUAUGAUAACCCCAAACAAAUGAUUAUUCUUAAUUGUGAAACUAAUUGCAUCUAAAAUUAUGAUAUUUUGAAUUCAUUAAACUCGUCGCAUUUUUCUGAUUAAAAUAAACUCAAUAAACCUUAAAAAAUUUCGAUAUAGAGACGUCGUAUGUUUGGAUGUCGUUCGUUAUUAUUGAGCUUCUGUUAGAUAUGAUUUGAGACACCGUCAACCGACGACGCUAAGAACAAAUAACGUUUUUCACUACAGCUACUGGGAUUAUUGUGGGUUAUGCUUAUUUCUUGAUGACUUCAAGAGACCCAACAUAUCAAGAUUUCAUGAAAAGGUUGUUUCUUUCUAGGCAGAGGAAGUUGCUUAAGAGUCAUAAGUUUGAUGUUGAGAGGUUUAAGGAACUUGAGAAUAAGUGGAAGAUAAUGUCUUGAAUCGUGUUGGUGUUGAUCUUGAGUUGGAGGAUUAUUUGCAGAGUCGUCAUAGAGAUUGAUUGGUUUUUUAUGAUCACAUCAGUUUCUGGUUUUUCUAACCAUUCUCUUUUUGAUUAUAUAUCAUGAUAUAUAAUGAUAUAUCGGGAAAUACACAUGUAUCUUAUUUCAGGGGUAAAUUCGUCCGAUUUUUUCAAAACCAAAGAUUUCUCUCUCUUAUUUUGCAAAGAAUAAAAGUUGUGUAUGUACAAGCUAAUUAUUUCUCAAAUAAUUAGCAUACAGCUAAUUGACUCUUAAUUUUAUCUUCAUUAUAUCACGUAGCAAAAAGGCGGAGAUUAAUUUUCAAAAAUAAAAAAUCAAAAUCAAAAUAUAAAAUAUUAUAAACCAAACAAGAGGAUCGUAACAUACAUAAGCUUUGAAGUUAUUUCGCUAAUACUACCACACGUUCCAUCAGACUGAACUUCAAACAUAACUCAACCGUAGUAGUAAGCAUACACGCAUGACACACACCAACACAUAUAUCUCUUACAUAUACUCCGACCGUUCAUUAUUUAUUGCAGGUUCAAAGACACACACACAUACGAGGAGUAAUUUUCUAUUCCUCGGACAAGAGAUGUUCGUCGAUCUCUUUGGAGAUCUCGACACAGAAUUGGAGGAGAGUUUCGGGAUGAGCCACCUCCUCGCUAAUUUUCUCAUAGUCAAGGUGCCAGUGCACAAUACUCCCUGGCGCUCCUUGUUUAGGGGUCACUUGGAUUGUGAAUGCGAAGCUCUUAUAUUCUUUCAUCAGAUCACCUUCUAAAACCUUGAACGUGAUCAGGUUCUUCUCCGGAUCCACCGCAUCGAUCCUAUUCUUUGCCACUGUUAACUUUCCAUCUGCACCAAUUUUUCAACAUUUUACUUCCCUAGGUUUAACUUUACGAAUCAACACGCAAAGAAAAAGAAAUAUAGGAUUUACUUGCCAUG